rnacentral:rRNA from 1 species
UACGGGGGGGGCAAGCGUUGUUCGGAAUUACUGGGCGUAAAGGGCUCGUAGGCGGCCAACUAAGUCAGACGUGAAAUCCCCCGGCUUAACCAGGGAACUGCUUCUGAUACUGGAUGGCUUGAGUUUGGGAGAGGGAUGCGGAAUUCCAGGUGUAGCGGUGAAAUGCGUAGAUAUCUGGAGGAACACCGGUGGCGAAGGCGACAUCCUGGACCAACACUGACGCUGAGUGAGCGAAAGCCAGGAGAGCAAACGGG